rnacentral:lncRNA from 1 species
CCGACCAGAGGCCCCCACCAUCACAGGGCCAGAAGUCCCUGUAGUGCACCACCAUGGAGGCCAUCCGAGGAGAAGCGCACAGAAAGGAGGCAUUGAACAAGCAUGCAGUCAGGACGCCCUGACCUACUCCCCAAGAUCCCCACACACAAUGAUGUCACCAGUAACUCUGGUGAAACAGCCCUCCAACUCAUUGUUGGGAAGCUCGGGGCUCGCUACCAUGGCUCCUCCCAUCAGGUCAGUGGGAAAGGAGGAGCACAAGGCAGCCAGCACAGAGCAGGACACUAUAGCACCCCCAAGAGGUGAGGAACCGAAAUGCAUUCUCAGACCUUUACACUAUAAGCUCUUGGUUUCACACAGACACACACAAAC